CUGUUCUUCAGGUUGAGGUGUCACUUGUUUCGUUGUGUUCCGAGUGGCUAGAAAAUAUAGAUGGAAUGAUGCAGAUAAUUUCACAAAUGCUUCAUAGAAAACACUGUUCAUGUAUUCAUUCACUUGAGAAGCACACCUGUCCAGGGCCCACGAUGUGUCUGGUGGUGUCUGGCUGCUGAGCUUACAAAUACGAAACCAGAGUAUGCCCUCCCAGCACCGGCCUCUGGGUAUUCAAGUGCAUAUGGCAAUGCCCACGACAUGUUUUUGAGCGUGUGUAUACGUGUCUGUGCAUGUCAUGUAUGUUACGUGUCUGUGUAUGCCAUGUAUGUUACGUGUCUGUGUAUGUCAUGUAUGUUAUGUGUGCAUGUGUGUGUCUCUCACCAAAAGGGACUCCUUGCUUGCUGUCAAUUGUCUCUGUGUUGUUUGACAGCAGCAGGAGUGGUCUCACUCCACAACACACUGAUCCUUUGCUCCCUAAGGCUGUUCAGAAUGCUUGAAGUUAGAGACGCCAUCUUAACACAAUGACAAGGAAACUUCUAGAACAGCCCUCUCUAUUGUGAAGAGUUUGGCAAAGGAGUUGAGUCUGAGUGCCCCAGUGAGGGGGGUGAUCAGUAUUCCAGCUCAGGAUAAAAGAGGGUGUCUAGGUCAGGUGUGGUGGCUCACACCUAUAAUUCCAGCACAUUGGGAGGCUGAGGCAGGAGGACUGCUUGAGCCCAGGAGUUUAAGACCAGCCUGGACAACAUGGGGAAACCCCAUCACUAACAAAAAAUACAAAAUAUUAGCCAGGCAUGGUGGUGUGCGCCUAUAAGGCCCAGGCAGGAGAAUCACUUGAGGCCAGGAGUUCGAGACCAGCCUGGCCAACAUGGCGAAACCCCAUCUUUGCUAAAAAUAAAAAAAUUAGCCAGGCAUGGUGGUGCACACCUGUAGUCCCAGCUACUUGGGCAGCUGUGGCACAAGAUUCACUUGAACCCAGGAGGUGGAGGUUGCAGUGAUCUGAGAUUGUACCACCGCACCCCAGCCUGGGCAACAGAGCGAGACUGUCUCAAAAAUAAAAAUAAAAUUGUGUGGCCGGGCACUGUGACUCAUGCCUGUAAUCCCAGCAUUUUGGGUGGCUGAGAUGGGCAGAUUACUCAAGGUCAGGAGUUUGAGACCAGCCUGGCCAACAUGGUGAAACCCCAUCUCUACUAAAAAUGCAAAAAUUAGCCAGGCAUGGUGGAGGGUGCCUGUAAUCCCAGCUACUCAGGAGGCUGAGGCAGGAGAAUCACUUGAAGCCAGGAGGCGGAAGUUGCAGUGAGCCGAGAUCGCGUGCCAUUGCACUCCAGCCUAGGCAACAGAGUGAGAGUCUGUCUCCAAAAAAAAAAAAAAUUGUGUUUAGUGAAUGACUUUUCAGGAACCACUAAAAUUAGUUAUCCUGUAGACUGGACUGGCCCAUUUGUGUCUAUAGGGCUGAGUGAACAAAAGCUGGGCUCUGUCUCACUCUUUGCUGCAGUUCUUUUGUUCUUGGUAGUCACAGAAGGGACACUUACCAGAGCUUGUGCAUUGACAUUGGUUGUCCCAGGACGAGUGGCUAGAGUUUCCUGUACAGAGCAUAUAGAGUGACCCGCUUUUUAUUCUGCGGAAACCUCUCUUGCAUUCACAGUUCAACAUGGUUCCUUCCUUGUAGGCCAUGGCUUUGAAUGUGGCGUGUGGGAUCUCUGGCGGGUCAUCGUCACAGAGCUCUGCAAAGCAAAAGAAGCCUAUUAGGAACUCAAGAGGCCCCAGGAGUUCUGUAUGCAGCUGAAGGGUAACAUCCCUUGGGAGCUUUUGCCUUGUCUGGCUGACGCCUUGGCAAUCGCAAGUGACAGUGACGGAGAGCCACCUCCUCUGGAAUGCAUCAUGGAACAGGUCUGGGAGAACAGAGGGUGCAGAAAGGGAAAAGCCAGGCAUUUGUAGUCCUCCUGCCACAGAUGACCAGAAUGACCUCACCCAGGACAAACGGCGACAGAUUUAGGAAUUCAAGCCAGCUUUUCUGACUCCCAGGCACCUGCUCUCUCCUUUCGAGUGUUCGACUCCACUCUCAGUCACUCGUCACUCUUCCCAGAAGGACAAAUGUGCAGCUUCUAUGUCUUGGAUUUCAAAUAAAAGACGAGGAACUUGGUGAAAUGAGGUGG
rnacentral:lncRNA from 1 species